AGAAAAUGUUUCAGUCUCUCAGGUUCUCAUCGGUGCAGCACUGACGAAAGCAGUACUUUUUUACACCUCAGUACUUUUUAUCCAUGCAAUAAAGCUGCAAGAUUCAAGAUUUGAGAUACAUGACUCUCUUUCAGGAUCCUUUUUUGAGUGCAGGCUAAUAGCCACUACGCUCCCUGAAGAAGAAUCACCUUUACUCAGUAGGUGCAGGGGAUUGGAAAAUGUUUGCUGCUGUGGCCAAGAGCAGAAGGUCUUUCACAGCUCAGUCGAGUGUGUGCAAGUUUCCUCACUUGGACUGGUUGUAAUUUUGAGUAUGGAAAAAGACAAUAAUUUAGAUUUUUUUUUCCACUCACUUUUUCCAAUCUGCUGAUGCCAUGAAUGGAGUGGCUUAUUAAGUUACAGACUUCCAUACCAGGUCAGAGCAGUUUGAGGAUGAAAAUGUUUCAGACAUUAAAAGACUCAAACUCAUACUCUACUUCAUGCCACACCAUAGAAAUCAUGCUCCUCUGUCAUCACUAUAGCACCACGUUUCUAUAUUAUAACCUCUAUUCUGAUACAUAUUUUGAAAGAAUGCCUCUGACUUCUGACCCUGCUCCAUUUUUGGAAAUUUAUUAUGUGCCUGUCAGGAUGUGUGGUAGUGCAGUAAGUCUGGUUUUCCUGCCAGAUAAACGGGCUCUGCUCUGCAUUCUGUAGCAAAGUGGAAAAUAUGAUGUAUGAAAUAUUCUUCCAAAUAUUCUCACAGUUUCUCAGAGGUCACAGGCUCAUUUAGUUUCACUUAUGCAUCCAUUAUGUGCACACACGUUUUCUUUUUCAUGUGUAGAUAAUAGCAGCCUAUCAGACACACGCCUAUUGUUGCUGAUAACAAUAUUAAGUCACAAAUAUCAAAAUCGCAGCAGUACCUA